UACAGAGGUUGGAUUGGCCGUAACUACCAUAGCACCAGACCAUGUGACUGCUAUGGGGCCCAGGGCAAGAGGGGGCCCAGUUGGGAUCAUCUCCUCUUCAAUUAGGGGUGAAAACUUGGUCAGGAUUCUACUCUCUAAAGGAACAACUUUUAGCAAAUGA